CUAAGGAUGGUUCUUCAGAAGCUUGCUUCUAUCGAACCGUUUUAGAAACAUCAGUGGCCAACAGAUCGCCAGAUCGUUGAGCUGCAUUGGCGGGAUUUCGCCGUCUACGUUUCUCUUUCUUCGCGGACGAACACGCGCUGGGGCUGCAAGCUUGCAGAUCCCUGGUCCUUAACAGGAUAUGCGUUAGGGGCUUGUAGCUCAGUUGGUUAGAGCGCGCGCUUGAUAAGCGUGAGGUCGGAAGUUCAAGUCUUCCCAGGCCCACCAGCCUUCGCGCUUCGCUGCUUCGGCUAGGCAAGCCCUUCGAGAAGAAGGCAGCCACGCCGUAGCCUUGGCGAAGGCGGGCUAUCAAACGGGCAUUCGUCUUCUGGUUACGGGGCCAUAGCUCAGCUGGGAGAGCGCGUGCUUUGCAAGCAUGAGGUCGUCGGUUCGAUCCCGUCUGGCUCCACCAGAUGGUUUGAUCACCGAGAUCCUGUACCGUCGUCCGCGAACAUCACUUCGCACUUACUAGUCUGGAUAGACAGUAAGCUGCGUGAUUUCUGACAUCGUAAAGAGGAGAUCGAUCCGAGUUGGAUCGUGCGGCAAGCAAUUGCCACGCGAGACUUCAUUAUCUCCGGAUCAUUUCGGCGCUCGUGCGUCUUUCGAAGGUAGCUCACAAGGCUGCGCUCGAGAGGCAAGCGAGUUGUAAAUGAUCCUUUUAGCGAAGCUUGACCGCCUCGCUAUCGGAACGAUCUUACGAAGCAAGCUGGUCUUUCUAGUCAAUGUCCGGCUGUACGUAGCGUUCAUCGAGGGCGCGUGCCGCAAGGCAAUCGUACAGACAACAUUCUGCCGAGUGUGUGGACAUUGAUAAUGAGAGC
rnacentral:tRNA from 2 species